rnacentral:rRNA from 1 species
GAUCCUGGCUCAGGAUGAACGCUAGCGACAGGCUUAACACAUGCAAGUCGAGGGGCAGCGGGGUGUAGCAAUACACCGCCGGCGACCGGCGCACGGGUGGGUAACGCGUAUGCAACUUGCCUAUCAGAGGGGGAUAACCCGGCGAAAGUCGGACUAAUACCGCAUGAAGCAGGGAUCCCGCAUGGGAAUAUUUGCUAAAGAUUCAUCGCUGAUAGAUAGGCAUGCGUCCCAUUAGG